rnacentral:lncRNA from 1 species
GGAAUCAAAACUCAAAGAUUUGCAUAAUAAAACAAAGAAAAGUGCAUAUAUCAUUCAACCAAAUCAAGGCUCUAUAUAUAGCCUUUACAGAUGAUAAAGAAAGCAAAACCUAACAGACUCUAUAAGAUAAAGUUUAAAAGACUUUACCUUGAAAUCUAACUCUAUCACAAUCAAGCAAAUCCUAUCAGAAAACUAUCUCUAUCUCUCCUGGAGAAUAGAUCUUAUUAAUUAUCCUAACUAAGAUAGCACUGACAAAUCGACACCUAACAUUCCCUCCCUUAAGCUAAACUUGUUAUUUUAGCUUAUUUCUGAUGCAUUCACCAAUCCAAGCAUACUACGAAGUUUCUCAAACUGCUCCAACUUUAACGGCUUUGUCAUUAAAUCUGCAAUUUGUUCUUGAGAACUGCAGUAGCUUAAUGAAACAGUACCAGCAUCCACCAAAUUCCUCAAGAAAUGAAAUCUCACAUCUAUGUGUUUGCUUUUUCCAUGAAAGACAGGAUUUUCAGACAACUUUAUAGCAGAACUAUUAUCACAUUGAAUUACAGUAGCUUCAUUUUCCGCCACUCCGAUUUCUCCUAGAAUUCUCUUGAGCCAUAUACACUGACAUGCACAAAAAGCUGCUGCGAUGUAUUCUGCUUCAGUAGUAGAUAAUGUCACCACUGGUUGUUUCUUUGAAGACCAUGAAACAGCUCCAUGUCCUAUUUUAAACACAUAUCCAGAGGUACUUUUUCUAUCGUCAAGAUCAUCAGCGUAUCCACUAUCCGUAUAAGCUAAGAGUUUCGGAUUGUCUACUCCUCUUCUGUAAAAAAUUCCCAGCUCAGUUGUUCCCUUCAAAUACCGGAGAAUCCUCUUGGCCGCUAACCAGUGCGACAUAGUUGGUGCAGACAUGUACCUGCUAAUUAGACUUGCACCAUACAUCAAGUCAGGACGGGUUACCGUUAAAUACAUGAGACUCCCUACUACUUUCUUGAACAAAGUAGUAUCAAAUUUACUUUCUCCUCCAUCCUUUGACAGCUUUGUACCAGUAGCAAAGGGAUUUUUAACUGCAUUGCAACUUGCCAUUUCAAACCUUCUUAAUACCUCUCGAGCAUAUCUUCUUUGACAGAUGAAUAUACCAUUCGAAUUCUGCAAGACUUCGAUUCCAAGAAAAUGCUUCAUUCUUCCCAAAUCAGACAUAUCAAACUCCGACAUCAUUGAGGCUUUAAACUCAUUGCACAUAUUCACAUUAUUUCCAGUGAAAAUUAAAUCAUCUACAUAAAGACUCACAAUCAAAAUUUUACCUUCAACUGAUUUAGUGAACAAUGUAUGUUCACUAGUACACUUCACAAAGCCUUCACGCAAGAAAUAAGCUUCAAUUUUCUUGUACCACUCCCUUGGUGCUUGCUUGAGGCCAUACAACGCUUUCUUUAAUUUAUAUACCUUUCCUUCCUCCCCCUUUUUAAUGAACCCAUCAGGCUGUUGUAUGUAAACGUCUUCUUUGAGUUCGCCAUGAAGAAAAGCACUCUUCACGUCAAGUUGAAAGACUUCCCAACCAUAGUGUGCUGCUAUCGCAAGAAUUACUCGGAUAGUAUCGAGCCUGGCAACUGGUGCGAAUACUUCAGUAUAAUCUAUACCAUAACGUUGUGCAUACCCCUUAGCUACCAGCCGUGCCUUGUAUUUCCCAACCUCACCCUUUUCAUUGACUUUGGUUUUAAAUACCCACUUGACUCCAAUACAUUUAGCGCCUUUAGGCAGGUCUGUCAACUCCCAAGUCUGGUUCUUUUCUAUGGACUGAAUUUCUGUUGCCAUCGCUUCUAUCCACUUCUUACUUUUGAUCGCCUCCUCGAACAAAAUUGGAUCAUCAUCAGUUACCAUCAUUGCAAACAUAUCAUCCUCUUCAAUGAUUCCUUCACCAGUUUCAUAAUCAGCCAUCCAAAAAGGUGUUUUUCUGAUCCUCUUAUCCCUUCCAUCAACUACAAUCUCUUGUGUAUCUGUGUCAUUUGGAGAUGAAUUGCAUACAUUGUCAUUGCCCAAUUCAGUGGUACCAUUCUCUUCCAUAUGUUCUUCAAUACACUCUUGAUUAUUCUCAAGUACGUCCAAGUUUAACUUUUCUUCUGUUUUACUCCAGUCAUAACACUCUUCUUCUUCAAACACAACAUCUUUACUAAUGAUAAUUUUCUUUGUGUUUGGAUCGUACAAUCUAUAAGCUUUCGUUCCAUCAUUAACACCCAAAAAUACACAUUUAUUGCUUUUAGAAUCCAGCUUGCUUCUAUUCUGGUCAGGAAUGUGAGCAUGAGCAAUACAUCCGAAAAUACGAAAAUAAGCAGCUGUUGGCUUCUCUUUAUUCCAUACUUCUUCUGGAGUUUGAUCCUUCACCGCUGUAGUUAGAGUUCUAUUUUGAAUGUGUACACACCAAUUUACAGCUUCAGGCCAGAACCUUUUCGGAACGUUCUUAUCAGCCAGCAUAGAGCGUACAGUGUUCAUAAUUGUUCUAUUCUUCCGCUCAGCAACUCCGUUCUGCUGUGGUGUGUAUGCUGCUGUCAAUUGUCUCCUUAUACCAUGAGCUUUGCAAAAUUCUUUAAAUUCAUUAGAAUUGAAUUCACCCCCUCUAUCUGUUCUCAAGCAAGUAAUGUACACACCAGACUCCUUUUCAACUUCAGCUUUGAAAUUCUUAAACGUAACGAAGGCCUCAGACUUUUCACUUAAAAAAUACACCCAAGUCUUACGUGAAAAAUCAUCAAUAAAGCUUAUAAAGUACCUUUUGUCGCUGUUUGAAACUGGUCUAAUCGGCCCACACAAAUCAGAGUGCACAAGUUGAAGCUUCUUUGAUGCUCUCCAAGAACUCUGCUUUGGAAAAGAAUCCCUGUGUUGUUUUCCAACCAAGCACACUUCACAUAGCUUUUCUGGAACUUUAAUUACGGGAACUCCAUCUACCAGGUUUUUAUAUGCAAGUGUUCUCAACCCUUGGUAAUUCAAAUGCCCAAACCGACGAUGCCACAAAUUUGAUUCCCUUUCAGAAUUAACUUCAGUUUGAAGACAUAAAGAGUUUGAUGCUGUCAUAGAUGCUGAUAGAUAGAACAUUCUGUUGCCGCUCAUACUAGUGUGCAUAAUUACUCCCCUUUCCGGAUGAUAAACUUUACAUGUUCCGUUUUGAAUUAGAAUAGCUAAUCCUCUUUCCUGAAGUUGUCCAAUGCUUAACAAAUUACUCUUUAAUUCAGGUAUGUAAUAAACAUCUGCAAUCACAUGAUUAAUACCAUUGAUUUGAAGUCGUACACUUCCUUUAGCCACUACUGCCAUUCUGGUGUCAUUACCAAGCUUCACCUGUUGUCGAUAUCCUUCAUCCAGCUCCAAGAACCAACAUUUAUUUCCAGUCAUAUGAUUAGAACAUCCAGAAUCUAGAUACCAGGCUUCUUCAACUUUGCUCUGAUGAGUUUCAACACUAGCCAUUAGUAGAAGCUCUUCUUCUUCAGCAUAAUUCGCUUUCUUUUCCCAAUCUGGACACUCAUAUUGAAAAUGUCCCAACUGAUGACAUUUAAAACAUUCAAUAACAGAUUUGUUCAAAGGAAUCCUUCCUCUUCCUCUGCCUCGUCCUCCGCGGAAUGAGCCUCUUCCCCUUCCUCUGCCUGGUUUAUCAUCAUAAGAAAUUCUUAAUACUUGAUCUUCAUCAUGACUUCCCUGCAUCCUUUGUUCUUGAACAAGCAAGCUUCCAUGAAGCUCAUCUAUUGUCAUCUUGUCUAAGUCAUUUGACUCUUCAAUUGAACAAACAACGUAAUUAAAUUUGGAACUUAAAGAUCUCAAAACCUUACUCACCACCGUACUUGACUUCAUCAUCUCGCCAUUCACUUUCAUCUUAUUUACCACAGUUAAAGUACGUGCCAGAAAACUAUCAACUUUUUCUCCUUCUUUCAUAUUCAGCAUUUCAAACUCUUUCCUCAAUGUCUGCAGCUGUGCUCUCUUUACCUUGGUAGAUCCUUGGUAUUUUUGUUUCAUUGAAUCCCAAAAUGCCUUUGACGUUCCUUUGUCCAGAAUAGUUUCAAUGAUUUCUCUUUCAAUUGCUUGAAAAGUGCAUAUAUCAUUCAACCAAAUCAAGGCUCUAUAUAUAGCCUUUACAGAUGAUAAAGAAAGCAAAACCUAACAGACUCUAUAAGAUAAAGUUUAAAAGACUUUACCUUGAAAUCUAACUCUAUCACAAUCAAGCAAAUCCUAUCAGAAAACUAUCUCUAUCUCUCCUGGAGAAUAGAUCUUAUUAAUUAUCCUAACUAAGAUAGCACUGACAAAUCGACACCUAACAGUAUUGGCGUAACAAGAGAGUAUGGGAUGGGAAGGUUGUUACCCCGGGUUUUGCCAUGGAUAGUAGUUUCAAAAUGUACUCAGAAUGGGUCGAAGCUAAGAAGAAGCAAGUGUCUGGUCCUCCCCAACCAAGUCUGCAAGCGGAAAAGGCUGUGAUUAGAUGGACUCUUCCAGUUCCAAGCGUUCUUAAAAUCAAUGUGGAUGCUUCUGUCUUCCCGAAUGCUCAGACUUUUUCGGUAGGUAUGGUAGCCCGUGAUCACCAAGGAUUAUUCAUUGCAGGAAAAGUCAAGUGUUUUCCCACAGUAGAUUCUGUUUUUGAGGCUGAAAUUAUAGGCAUCAGGGAGGCUCUAUCAUGGAUUGAGGAACAUCAGCUUAGUUACAACCAGUUUGUGAUAGAAACAGACUCACUUCUUAGUGUUAAAGCUAUCUAUGGAGACAACUUAAAUCUACUGGAAGUGGGGGAGAUAGUUGAGGAGUGUAAACGAGUUCUCCAGACUAUGCAUAGAGUUUCUGUUUGUUUCAUCCGAAAAAAUGCUAAUAGGGUAGCUCAUGAUAUGACUAGAUUCCCGUGUUUAGUAAAUUCCAAUAUUAUUUUCACCCCUCCUCCUACG